rnacentral:rRNA from 1 species
GACGAACGCUGGCGGCGUGCCUAAUACAUGCAAGUUGAGCGCUGAAGGUUGGUACUUGUACCGACUGGAUGAGCAGCGAACGGGUGAGUAACGCGUGGGGAAUCUGCCUUUGAGCGGGGGACAACAUUUGGAAACGAAUGCUAAUACCGCAUAAAAACUUUAAACACAAGUUUUAAGUUUGAAAGAUGCAAUUGCAUCACUCAAAGAUGAUCCCGCGUUGUAUUAGCUAGUUGGUGAGGUAAAGGCUCACCAAGGCGAUGAUACAUAGCCGACCUGAGAGGGUGAUCGGCCACAUUGGGACUGAGACCCGGCCCAAACGCCUACGGGAGGCAGCAGUAGGGAAUCUUCGGCAAUGGACGAAAGUCUGACCGAGCAACGCCGCGUGAGUGAAGAAGGUUGUCGGAUCGUAAAACUCUGUUGGUAGAGAAGAACGUUGGUGAGAGUGGAAAGCUCAUCAAGUGACGGUAACUACCCAGAAAGGGACGGCUAACUACGUG